GAGCAAUAUAUAUAUUUAAUAGAACUAGGUUGUUGUCUCGUUAUUCCAGCAGCUCCUUCACAGUGACUCGGUGCCAUGACGCUGAGCUAACUUGGAGGCCACCAUGGACGUCUUUUCCCUGGGCCCGGUGACUGCAUGGUGCCUACUCAAUCAGUGAAAGAGUCACAGAACCCUUGCGCUUGGAAAAGGGCCUUCAGCUCAAGUCCAAGCGUCAGCUAACACCACCAGGCCCACCACAAAACCACGGCCCUUAGCGCCAAGUCCACGCAUUUCUUUAAUAGCUCCAGGCCUGGGACUCCAGCAGUGCCCUGGGCAGCCGGUUCCACCCUUUGCAUGAAGAAAUUCUUCCUGACAUCCCAUCCUGUGAGUCCACCUGUGGUAGGUGCGCCCAGGUAGAAGAACUGCUCAGCCUCCUGGCAGAGCUUCGGGAGGAGGUGGGCAGGCUGAGGAGCACCAGGGAGUCGGAGAAGGUUGAACUGUACUGUGCCAGCCCUGGGACAGAUGCGUCAGGCAGACACAGCAGAGGAAAUGGAGGAUCCCCUACCCUCUGGCCAUCAGGCAGAAGGAGUGCAUCUCAGUGACGAAGGGAUGGAAGUUUAGAUCUGCUCGGGGCAGCAGGCGGACCCCUCCUUGCCUACCUCACCUUCCUUUCAGGUGCCCUGAAACAACAGACUCUGGAAGUAAUGGACACACAAACGAUGAUGUGCAUGAAGGUCCAUCCAGGUUGGAGGGGUUUUCUAGGGCAAGUCAGCCUUCCCCAGUAUCACGACCACCUCCAUCAAGAAGAAGAGAAGGGUUACUGUCAUAAGUGACUCCCUUCUGAGCAGAACAGAGGGCCGCAUAUGCCGGCCUGACCCAACCCAUGGAGAAGUCUGCUGUCUCCCAGGAGAUCAGGGUAAAAGGUGUUUCUGGAGAGCUCACUCGCCCCGUAAGGCCCUCUGAGCAUCAUCCAUUAUUGUUCUGUCCCCGGGGUUUUUCGGGGCCCGGUGGCAGUGCCGUCCCCUCUGUGUCCCCCUUCGCGCAGGUGACACCUCGGUGCUGGCCGGGCUGUACGGCCCCGCGGAGGUGCGGGGCUCAAAGGAGAGCCCCGAGAGGGCGACGCUGGAGGUGCUGCUGCGCCCCAAGUUGUGGCUGCCAGAGAAUAUUGUGAAAGCAUUCUCUUCUGGUUCAAUUGGCCUUGGCCAAAUCUGAAAACAAGACACGGAUUAAUGAUACUCAAAAGAAGAUGAGGGAUUGUGAUAUAUGGAGUGGUAAUUCGUGUGGAGAAAAUGGUUGAUAUUAAUAAAGAAGGGGGAGAUUUGGGAGUGUGGCCAUGGGGCUUGGAAAGCCCUGUGGUUGAGAUAAAAUUAGACCCUUAACGAGGAGGCCAUCAGGAAUGUAAAAGAGUUUAGAGGGAACCAAGAAGGGUGAUUCAGGAGACUCCAUGCAGUCG
rnacentral:lncRNA from 1 species